rnacentral:rRNA from 1 species
UACGUAGGGGGCUAGCGUUGUCCGGAAUUACUGGGCGUAAAGCGCGUGUAGGCGGGCAUGCAAGUCGAGUGUGAAAUCCCUGGGCUCAACCCAGGAACUGCAUUCGAAACUGCAUGUCUAGAGUGUCGGAGAGGGAAGCGGAAUUCCUGGUGUUGAGGUGAAAUUCGUAGAUAUCAGGAGGAACACCGGUGGCGAAGGCGGCUUCCUGGACGAUUACUGACGCUGAGACGCGAAAGCGUGGGGAGCGAACAGG